CGGUAAUACGUAGGUGGCAAGCGUUGUCCCGGAUUUAUUGGGCGUAAAGCGAGCGCAGGCGGUUUUUUAAGUCUGAUGUGAAAGCCUUUCGGCUCAACCGAAGAAGUGCAUCGGAAACUGGGAAACUUGAGUGCAGAAGAGGACAGUGGAACUCCAUGUGUAGCGGUGAAAUGCGUAGAUAUAUGGAAGAACACCAGUGGCGAAGGCGGCUGUCUGGUCUGUAACUGACGCUGAGGCUCGAAAGUAUGGGUAGCAAACAGGAUUAGAUACCCUGGUAGUCCAUACCGUAAACGAUGAAUGCUAAGUGUUGGAGGGUUUCCGCCCUUCAGUGCUGCAGCUAACGCAUUAAGCAUUCCGCCUGGGGAGUACGGCCGCAAGGCUGAAACUCAAAGGAAUUGACGGGGGCCCGCACAAGCGGUGGAGCAUGUGGUUUAAUUCGAAGCUACGCGAAGAACCUUACCAGGUCUUGACAUACUAUGCAAAUCUAAGAGAUUAGACGUUCCCUUCGGGGACAUGGAUACAGGUGGUGCAUGGUUGUCGUCAGCUCGUGUCGUGAGAUGUUGGGUUAAGUCCCGCAACGAGCGCAACCCUUAUUAUCAGUUGCCAGCAUUAAGUUGGGCACUCUGGUGAGACUGCCGGUGACAAACCGGAGGAAGGUGGGGAUGACGUCAAAUCAUCAUGCCCCUUAUGACCUGGGCUACACACGUGCUACAAUGGAUGGUACAACGAGUUGCGAACUCGCGAGAGUAAGCUAAUCUCUUAAAGCCAUUCUCAGUUCGGAUUGUAGGCUGCAACUCGCCUACAUGAAGUCGGAAUCGCUAGUAAUCGCGGAUCAGCAUGCCGCGGUGAAUACGUUCCCGGGCCUUGUACACACCGCCCGUCACACCAUGAGAGUUUGUAACACCCAAAGUCGGUGGGGUAACC
rnacentral:rRNA from 2 species